rnacentral:rRNA from 1 species
CCUACGGGAGGCAGCAGUGGGGAAUUUUGGACAAUGGGCGAAAGCCUGAUCCAGCAAUGCCGCGUGAGUGAAGAAGGCCUUCGGGUUGUAAAGCUCUUUUGUCAGGGAAGAAACGGUGAGGGCUAAUAUCCCUUGCUAAUGACGGUACCUGAAGAAUAAGCACCGGCUAACUACGUGCCAGCAGCCGCGGUAAUACGUAGGGUGCAAGCGUUAAUCGGAAUUACUGGGCGUAAAGCGUGCGCAGGCGGUUUUGUAAGUCUGUCGUGAAAUCCCCGGGCUCAACCUGGGAAUUGCGAUGGAGACUGCAAGGCUAGAAUCUGGCAGAGGGGGGUAGAAUUCCACGUGUAGCAGUGAAAUGCGUAGAGAUGUGGAGGAACACCGAUGGCGAAGGCAGCCCCCUGGGUCAAGAUUGACGCUCAUGCACGAAAGCGUGGGGAGCAAACAGGAUUAGAUACCCUGGUAGUCCACGCCCUAAACGAUGUCUACUAGUUGUCGGGUUUUAAUUAACUUGGUAACGCAGCUAACGCGUGAAGUAGACCGCCUGGGGAGUCGGUCGCAAGAUUAAACUUNAAAGGAAUUGAGGCUUGNGNGNGCGAGNGACGACGAGGAGAG